rnacentral:rRNA from 1 species
GAUGAACGCUGGCGGCGUGCCUAAUACAUGCAAGUCGAGCGAACAGAUAAGGAGCUUGCUCCUUUGACGUUAGCGGCGGACGGGUGAGUAACACGUGGAUAACCUACCUAUAAGACUGGGAUAACUUCGGGAAACCGGAGCUAAUACCGGAUAACAUAUUGAACCGCAUGGUUCAAUAGUGAAAGGCGGCUUUGCUGUCACUUAUAGAUGGAUCCGCGCCGUAUUAGCUAGUUGGUAAGGUAACGGCUUACCAAGGCAACGAUACGUAGCCGACCCGAGAGGGUGAUCGGCCACACUGGAACUGAGACACGGUCCAGACUCCUACGGGAGGCAGCAGUAGGGAAUCUUCCGCAAAGGGCGAAAGCCUGACGGAGCAACGCCGCGUGAGUGAUGAAGGUCUUCGGAUCGUAAAACUCUGUUAUCAGGGAAGAACAAAUGUGUAAGUAACUGUGCACAUCUUGACGGUACCUGAUCAGAAAGCCACGGCUAACUACGUG